CCUACGGGCGGCAGCAGUGGGGAAUAUUGGACAAUGGGGGCAACCCUGAUCCAGCCAUGCCGCGUGUGUGAAGAAGGCCCUCGGGUUGUAAAGCACUUUCAGUGAGGAAGAACGCCUGGUGGUUAAUACCCAUCAGGAAAGACAUCACUCACAGAAGAAGCACCGGCUAACUCCGUGCCAGCAGCCGCGGUAAUACGGAGGGUGCGAGCGCUAAUCGGAAUUACUGGGCGUAAAGCGCGCGUAGGUGGCUUGAUAAGCCGGUUGUGAAAGCCCCGGGCUCAACCUGGGAACGGCAUCCGGAACUGUCAAGCUAGAGUGCAGGAGAGGAAGGUAGAAUUCCCGGUGUAGCGGUGAAAUGCGUAGAGAUCGGGAGGAAUACCAGUGGCGAAGGCGGCCUUCUGGACUGACACUGACACUGAGGUGCGAAAGCGUGGGUAGCAAACAGGAUUAGAUACCCUGGUAGUC
rnacentral:rRNA from 1 species